AGCUAAAUGGGAUUUCCUGUUGGGUACACAGAAGUUUUCUUGCCGAAGAUGUUCGUGCACGCACUAUCCUUUCUGGGUUUUAUCAGAAACCUCAUUAUAUGCCUUUUUAAUUUUCUGGGUCUCUCGGAUUUCCUCGAAACCGAUAACAUAUGGCCCGAUAAUACUAACCGAAUCCAUAGCCACACGCCCGUUUCCGCCGUCCUGAUCCGGGAAAUCCUACCCGUCAUAAAGUUCGACGAUUUGGUUGCCGGAGACAGCGAAGUUGAGCUGCCGGAGAGUUGUGUCGUUUGUUUGUAUGAGUUCGAGGGCGAUGCGGAGAUCAGAUGGCUAAAGAAUUGCAAGCACAU
rnacentral:misc_RNA from 1 species